rnacentral:snRNA from 1 species
AUAAACUUUACUAUAAACAUAA